rnacentral:rRNA from 1 species
GCAUAUCAAUAAGCGGAGGAAAAGAAACCAACAGGGAUUGCCUCAGUAACGGCGAGUGAAGCGGCAACAGCUCAAAUUUGAAAUCUGGCCUCUGGCCCGAGUUGUAAUUUGCAGAGGAUGUUUCUGGCGAGGUGCCUUCCGAGUUCCCUGGAACGGGACGCCAUAGAGGGUGAGAGCCCCGUACGGUUGGUCGCUAAGCCUCUGUGAAACUCCUUCGACGAGUCGAGUAGUUUGGGAAUGCUGCUCUAAAUGGGAGGUGUACGCCUUCUAAAGCUAAAUACAGGCUAGAGACCGAUAGCGCACAAGUAGAGUGAUCGAAAGAUGAAAAGCACUUUGAAAAGAGGGUUAAAAAGUACGUGAAAUUGUUGAAAGGGAAGCGCUCUUGACCAGACUUGCGCCGGUUGAUCAUCCACCGUUCUCGGUGGUGCACUCUGCCGGCUCAGGCCAGCAUCAGUUUGGCCCGGGGGAUAAAGGCUUCGGGAAUGUGGCUCUCUCCGGGGAGUGUUAUAGCCCGUUGCGUAAUACCCUGGGCUGGACUGAGGUUCGCGCAUCUGCAUGGAUGCUGGCGUAAUGGUCAUCAGUGACCCGUCUUGAAACACGGACC